AUCAGUUUCCCGGAACGAAAAAUCUACUCAACAGCAGAAUAAAUAAGCGAUCGGACUAGAUGACGAUUUUUUUAAAAGAGUGCAAAAGGGAAUAAUCUACUGCUAGAUUUAUUUGCACUGUUUCUUUGCGUUUUUCGUUUCUGCUGUCGCUUUGAUUUUUUCGUCACUUUGAGACAUAAUGAUGUAAAGUCACAUUUGCCCAGUAAUUUCGCUAGCCACGACCCUUCAGACAGAAACACAAUAAUGUUUACACAUUACUGCUUCACGUCAGAAAUAGGCGCCGUUGUGGUACCCAUAAUCUAGCCGGCAUCCUGUGUAAGGGAGCUUCCCACUGAUGAAUAAAUGAUCUAAGAAUUUAAAGAUCACAUGACCCUAAAUCAUGGGAAAUGCCAUAGGUCCUACAUGUGCGGGUAAGUCUAUAUAAGAAUCAAGAGCGAACAGCACCGAUUGAAAGCUAAAGGCAACAGACAUUCAACCCCAUUCAUUACCUAAUAUAUAAAAUUCUCGUAUCCCGGUGUUUGUUACCAAACUCCGAAACGGCUGAACCGAUCUAUUAGGUCUGAGAAUCGGCCAACAUUUAUUUUUCAUACCCCUGAAUGAUAAGGGUGUCCCACCCUAAUUAUAUUAUUUUUAUUUUAUUUGACAAUUUUUUUUUAUUUCUAUUUUAUUAUGAUUCAGCAUCACAUCAUAUUAGCAUUCAGAACAAUGUCUGUCGGGGUUAGCUAGUGCACAUAAUAUAAAGCAAACAGAUGGCAUAGAAAAUUUAAUUACUCAGCAACCACAAUAAAUAAAGACCCCGCAUAUAUCCUUGGAACGGUUUGAUGAGAAAAGCUUAAAAUAUAAAAAUUUAAUUUGGGAUUAAUAUCUAUUCGGGGUCAAAUAUUUCCCAAGGAGUUGCAUUGGAAAUUAGGUUUCAAUCGAGGGAGGAGCGGGUCGUCACUAGUAUUUAAUAAAUCAUUGUAUUUGGUGGAUGCGGUUACUAUUAUGACAGUAAUCACGACCAUCAUGUUCAUGAAGCAUCAUCACACAAACAAUCGAAUCAAGCUCUCAAGGUUGAUGCAUCGAAUAUACAAUUAUUUAUAUUUUUUACAACUUACUUUUUGAAGUGAAGUUCUUUUUAACCGUUGUGAUUUGAAACUCGAUGAAACGAAAAAGCGAGACGAUAGAGAAACAAACAGGUAAAUAGGAUUCAGCCGGCGAGAAAAUGAGACAAACACAUAAAUUCGUAAGAUUUAACGCAGGACCGCGUGCAACAUAGAGCAGCUCGAAAUGUGGGGGACCCAGUGCUCUGUGAACGGCUGGAUCACUUGGCGUUGCGUAGAGAAGUCGCUUCAUUGUGUGUCUUCUACCGCAUUUAUCACGGGGAGUGUUCCGAAGAGCUGUUUAACCUGAUUCCUGCCGCCGAAUUCCACCUUCGCACGACACGCCACAAGUUAGAAUAUCAUCCUCACCAUCUGGAUGUGUGGCGGUCCUCCACAGUGCGGUUUUCAAGGAGCUUUCUUCCACAUACUACGAAGCUGUGGAAUGAGCUUCCUUGUGCGGUGUUUCAGGGACGAUACGACAUGAGUACCUUCAAAAAAAGCGCGUACACCUUCCUUAAAGGCCGGCAACGCUCCUGUGAUUCCUCUGGUGUUGCAAGAGAUUGUGGGCGGCGGUGAUCACUUAACAACAGGUGACCCGUACGCUCGUUUGUCCUCCUAUUCCAUAAAAAAAAGGAUAAAACGAGAUGGGAACCUGGCGAUCACAGUUGAAGAAGAGUACGUAUUACUACAUAGACACCAGGGGAACACAAAUAUGGUAGCGGUGAUAGUAAUGUCUUUCAUAGCGGUUGAAAUCAUGUGUCGUCCUAGCAACAUAUACCAGGACCUCAUAUGUAGUUUAGAGGUUCAUGCGCAAUGGACAUCUUAAAAUUAUUGUUUUUCAAGUGCUGACCCGUUGAUGGUGUUUGUGAUUCUCUUUGUGGUCUGCUUCGUACCCCCUCCACUCGUAUUUACCAAGGCAAAAUCCCACAGUUUGCUCAGCGUUGUACGUGUGUUAAUAGGUGUUUGUGCGCGCAUGCGUAGUACAAAGCUUGAGAAAAGGCAUCACAACAACCGUGGAGUAUUGUAUAUGUUAAAGGACGAGACGAGCAGGACGUUCAGCUAAUAGUAAUUGAUACACCCUGCCAAUUACAACGCAGUGCCGCUCGGGAUUCAUUGAAAAACCCAAAAAUUCCGAGCAGCACUACUGUUGCGCUCGUGAGCUUGAGACAUAAUAUGAAAGUAUCCCUUAUUGGGUCUUUUAAGGGCCCAUGAUAAGAAGGCAUAUACCUUACCGGAGGGAGAGAACAGAGAGCAUGCUGAAGAUGGGCCGGAAGUGAGAAAGAAGCCUAGACUCAGUGCUAACAAAACGAACGCUACAACCCAAUUGUUUACUUGCAUUACCUGUGGAAGAUCUUUCGCGUCGAAGGCCGGAAGACGUCGCCAUGACGAUCGCUUCUGUGGUCGCCAUUGAAGGACUUUACUGCCCCAACGGCCAGCUGUCCGUCGAGCUAUGUGCCCUGCCCACUGCCACUUCAGUUUCACAACCAUACCAAUGUUAAUACCUACAAUUUUUUUUUUGUUGCCAUUAAAAAUAUGUUAUGUGAGCUAAAAGGGGUAACCCCAAAAAAGUAAAACCUUUCUGCACCUUUCGCUCUACAUUUGUAGCCGCUGGGUUUUUGAAACACUGUGUGGCCAAUAUGAUAUUUUUAUUAAAUAUUUGAAUAACGACUUCUGAGAAAAGUCAUUUAAGCCAAAUCUGUUGUAGUUUACGUAUAAUUAUUAGACCACAGAUAAAAGAUAAAACUAAGGAGAUGAAUAUUUCCAAUCUAGCUAUACUUAUGUGUAUGUAGGAACCGACUAGAAUCUUUACUGUGUAUAUCACGUUUUGUAAUUUUCUAGAUCUGUAUUUGCGCCUAUUGCAAUAAUACUUUAGCGUGCUAAAAUCAAUAUAAUCUGCCAUUUGAACUGUCAAAACAAAAUGUUGUAAUAUAAUUUUCAAUGUGUCUUUCUGACGUAGACAGAAGAUGGACACUAGAUUCGCUGUCAGCGUAUGUAAAUGAGAUAGCAAUAGUCUGUGACGUGUGUUAUGUUUUCAGGUUUUUGUUCUGGAUGAUUUGUAUAACGUAAUAGACAACAACGUCCCAUGGUUUUAUACUUAAACUGAAUUCACACCAAAUCACUCAAUUACGUAUUAAAAAUUAGAAUUUAUUUAAAUUAAAUAGUACUGCACCAUCUCAACCAUUGUUAAAGGUGGAAGGCAAGAGGGCACACGGUCGAUCGCCAACCCGCUGGAUAGACGCCAUCACAAAGGCUACUGAGUCCACUAAUGAAGCUUCCCUUGAGGAGAUAUAAAUCAUUAAGAGAAGAGAUAGAUCGAAAGUAACAACACAUUUAGAUUCAGAUAGAUCUAAUCUAGCCUUAAUUAUCUAGGCUAAUUAGAAGUUUCUGUUGUAAGUAAUUAAAAAGUACUCCACUAGGUGAAGGUUGACUUAAAAAAACUAAUUCGCUGAAAAUACGACGGAACACAUUAUGAUUUAUGUGUAUGUGAUGAAGCAAAUCUAGAGCUAAUUAUUCAUUGCAUUCACAUUAGCCCAGCGACGGGGGUACCUCUAGAUAGAGAUAGACACACUGAACAAAACUAAAAAGCAUUGCUUCCGUAAAAAAAAACGUCGCGUCAAAAAACACGAAUCGUCCUCGUGUGAAUGGGCUCUUAGGUUUUAUCGAUUUCCAUCCUUUAAAUUCCAGUAUAAAUAACUUAAAAGUGGACAAUAAACACUUUUAUACCCUAAAACAAGAUAUUUACUUUAUGUUACCUCGUUUUAAGUUAAAGAAAAAAGUAGGUACGUAUGUUAUGUUUGAAGUCUUGUGUUAAAAGUUUUUUCUUAUUGUAAGUACAUAUUGCAUUAUGUGUAGGAGAGAGAAAUAAAAUAAGACAUGUCUAUUAAAAAGUAUAUAUGUUAUGAAAUAAUGAUUUAUAAACAUGUGAUAUGAAUUAAUAAUGGAUUUGCAAUUUGUAAUAAAGAUUUAAAAUAUUGA